rnacentral:rRNA from 1 species
GUAAGCUACUAAGAGCGAAUGGUGGAUGCCUUGACUGGUAAAGGCGAUGAAGGACGUACUAGACUGCGAUAAGCUACGGGGAGCUGUCAAGAAGCUUUGAUCCGUAGAUUUCCGAAUGGGGCAACCCAAUGUAUAGAGAUAUACAUUACCUAUAUAGGAGCGAACGAGGGGAAUUGAAACAUCUUAGUACCCUCAGGAAAAGAAAUCAAUAGAGAUUGCGUCAGUAGCGGCGAGCGAAAGCGUAAGAGGGCAAACCCAGUGCUUGCACUGGGGGUUGUAGGACUGCAAUGUGCAAGAGGUGAGUUUAGCAGAACAUUCUGGAAAGUAUAGCCAUAGAGGGUGAUAGUCCCGUAUGCGAAAAACAAACCUUAGCUAGCAGUAUCCUGAGUAGGGCGGGACACGAGAAAUCCUGUCUGAAGCUGGGUCGACCACGAUCCAACCCUAAAUACUAAUACCAGAUCGAUAGUGCACAAGUACCGUGAGGGAAAGGUGAAAAGAACUGAGGUGAUCAGAGUGAAAUAGAACCUGAAACCAUUUGCUUACAAUCAUUCAGAGCACUAUGUAGCAAUACAGUGUGAUGGACUGCCUUUUGCAUAAUGAGCCUGCGAGUUGUGGUGUCUGGCAAGGUUAAGCAAACGCGAAGCCGUAGCGAAAGCGAGUCUGAAUAGGGCGCUUAGUCAGAUGCUGCAGACCCGAAACGAAGUGAUCUAUCCAUGAGCAAGUUGAAGCUAGUGUAAGAACUAGUGGAGGACUGAACCCAUAGGCGUUGAAAAGCCCCGGGAUGACUUGUGGAUAGGGGUGAAAGGCCAAUCAAACUUCGUGAUAGCUGGUUCUCUCCGAAAUAUAUUUAGGUAUAGCGUUGUGUCGUAAUAUAAGGGGGUAGAGCACUGAAUGGGCUAGGGCAUACACCAAUGUACCAAACCCUAUCAAACUCCGAAUACCUUAUAUGUAAUCACAGCAGUCAGGCGGCGAGUGAUAAAAUCCGUCGUCAAGAGGGAAACAACCCAGACUACCAGCUAAGGUCCCUAAAUCUUACUUAAGUGGAAAACGAUGUGAAGUUACUUAAACAACCAGGAGGUUGGCUUAGAAGCAGCCAUCCUUUAAAGAAAGCGUAAUAGCUCACUGGUCUAGUGAUUUUGCGCGGAAAAUAUAACGGGGCUAAAGUAAGUACCGAAGCUGUAGACUUGAUUUUAUCAAGUGGUAGGAGAGCGUUCUAUUUGCGCCGAAGGUAUACCGGUAAGGAGUGCUGGAGCGAAUAGAAGUGAGCAUGCAGGCAUGAGUAGCGAUAAUUAAUGUGAGAAUCAUUAACGCCGUAAACCCAAGGUUUCCUACGCGAUGCUCGUCAUCGUAGGGUUAGUCGGGUCCUAAGUCGAGUCCGAAAGGGGUAGACGAUGGCAAAUUGGUUAAUAUUCCAAUACCAACAUUAGUGUGCGAUGGAAGGACGCUUAGGGCUAAGGGGGCUAGCGGAUGGAAGUGCUAGUCUAAGGUCGUAGGAGGUUAUACAGGCAAAUCCGUAUAACAAUACUCCGAGAACUGAAAGGCUUUUUGAAGUCUUCGGAUGGAUAGAAGAACCCCUGAUGCCGUCGAGCCAAGAAAAGUUUCUAAGUUUAGCUAAUGUUGCCCGUACCGUAAACCGACACAGGUGGGUGGGAUGAGUAUUCUAAGGCGCGUGGAAGAACUCUCUUUAAGGAACUCUGCAAAAUAGCACCGUAUCUUCGGUAUAAGGUGUGGUUCGCUUCGUAUUAGGAUUUACUCCGAAAGCGAAGAAACUUACAACAAAGAGUCCCUCCCGACUGUUUACCAAAAACACAGCACUCUGCUAACUCGUAAGAGGAUGUAUAGGGUGUGACGCCUGCCCGGUGCUCGAAGGUUAAUUGAUGGGGUUAGCAUUAGCGAAGCUCUUGAUCGAAGCCCGAGUAAACGGCGGCCGUAACUAUAACGGUCCUAAGGUAGCGAAAUUCCUUGUCGGUUAAAUACCGACCUGCAUGAAUGGCGUAACGAGAUGGGAGCUGUCUCAAAGAGGGAUCCAGUGAAAUUGUAGUGGAGGUGAAAAUUCCUCCUACCCGCGGCAAGACGGAAAGACCCCGUGGACCUUUACUAUAACUUGACACUGCUAUUUGGAUAAAGAUGUGCAGGAUAGGUGGGAGGCUUUGAAGCUAGGACGCCAGUUCUAGCAGAGCCAUUGUUGAGAUACCACUCUUCUUUAUUUGGGUAGCUAACUAGCCUAAGUUAUCCUUAGGUAGGACAAUGUCUGGUGGGUAGUUUGACUGGGGCGGUCGCCUCCCAAAUAAUAACGGAGGCUUACAAAGGUUGGCUCAGAACGGUUGGAAAUCGUUCGUAGAGUAUAAAGGUAUAAGCCAGCUUAACUGCAAGACAUACAAGUCAAGCAGAGACGAAAGUCGGUCUUAGUGAUCCGGUGGUUCUGUGUGGAAGGGCCAUCGCUCAAAGGAUAAAAGGUACCCCGGGGAUAACAGGCUGAUCUCCCCCAAGAGCUCACAUCGACGGGGAGGUUUGGCACCUCGAUGUCGGCUCAUCGCAUCCUGGGGCUGGAGCAGGUCCCAAGGGUAUGGCUGUUCGCCAUUUAAAGCGGUACGCGAGCUGGGUUCAGAACGUCGUGAGACAGUUCGGUCCCUAUCUGCCGUGGGCGUAAGAAGAUUGAAGAGAUUUGACCCUAGUACGAGAGGACCGGGUUGAACAAACCACUGGUGUAGCUGUUGUUCUGCCAAGAGCAUCGCAGCGUAGCUAAGUUUGGAAAGGAUAAACGCUGAAAGCAUCUAAGCGUGAAGCCAACUCUAAGAUGAAUCUUCUCUAAGCUCUCUAGAAGACUACUAGUUUGAUAGGCUGGGUGUGUAAUGGAUGAAAGUCCUUUAGCUGACCAGUACUAAUAGAGCGUUUGGCUUAUCUUUAAUAAAGCAU